rnacentral:rRNA from 1 species
CCUACGGGAGGCAGCAGUGAGGAAUAUUGGUCAAUGGACGAGAGUCUGAACCAGCCAAGUAGCGUGAAGGAUGACUGCCCUAUGGGUUGUAAACUUCUUUUAUAUGGGAAUAAAAUGUUCCACGUGUGGGAUUUUGUAUGUACCAUAUGAGUAAGGAACGGCUAACUCCGUGCCAGCAGCCGCGGUAAUACGGAGGAUCCGAGCGUUAUCCGGAUUUAUUGGGUUUAAAGGGAGCGUAGGUGGAUUGUUAAGUCAGUUGUGAAAGUUUGCGGCUCAACCGUAAAAUUGCAGUUGAAACUGGCAGUCUUGAGUACAGUAGAGGUAGGCGGAAUUCGUGGUGUAGCGGUGAAAUGCUUAGAUAUCACGAAGAACUCCGAUUGCGAAGGCAGUUCACUGGACUGCAACUGACACUGAGGCUCGAAAGUGUGGGUAUCAAACAGGAUUAGAUACCCUGGUAGUC